rnacentral:rRNA from 1 species
UACGUAGGUGGCAAGCGUUGUCCGGAUUUACUGGGCGUAAAGAGCGCGCAGGCGGCUGGUCAAGUCCGAUGUGAAAGCUCCCGGCUUAACUGGGAAACGGCAUCGGAAACUGAUCGGCUUGAAGGUGGGAGAGGGUAGUGGAAUUCCCGGUGUAGUGGUGAAAUGCGUAGAUAUCAGGAGGAACACCAAUGGCGAAGGCAGCUCGCUGGAACGGUACUGACGCUGUGGCGCGAAAGCGUGGGGAGCGAACAGG